rnacentral:tRNA from 1 species
GGGGAUUUAGCUCAGUGGCAUAAGCACCUGCCUUAUAAACAGGCAAGUCAUGAGUUCAAUCCCUG